AUUGAACGCUGGCGGCAGGCCUAACACAUGCAAGUCGAGCGGAUGAAGGGAGCUUGCUCCUGGAUUCAGCGGCGGACGGGUGAGUAAUGCCUAGGAAUCUGCCUGGUAGUGGGGGAUAACGUCCGGAAACGGGCGCUAAUACCGCAUACGUCCUGAGGGAGAAAGUGGGGGAUCUUCGGACCUCACGCUAUCAGAUGAGCCUAGGUCGGAUUAGCUAGUUGGUGGGGUAAAGGCCUACCAAGGCGACGAUCCGUAACUGGUCUGAGAGGAUGAUCGGUCACACUGGAACUGAGACACGGUCCAGACUCCUACGGGAGGCAGCAGUGGGGAAUAUUGGACAAUGGGCGAAAGCCUGAUCCAGCCAUGCCGCGUGUGUGAAGAAGGUCUUCGGAUUGUAAAGCACUUUAAGUUGGGAGGAAGGGCAGUAAGUUAAUACCUUGCUGUUUUGACGUUACCAACAGAAUAAGCGCCGGCUAACUUCGUG
rnacentral:rRNA from 1 species